GACUCCUACGGGAGGCAGCAGUGGGGAAUAUUGCACAAUGGGCGAAAGCCUGAUGCAGCGACGCCGCGUGAGGGAUGACGGCCUUCGGGUUGUAAACCUCUUUCAGCAGGGAAGAAGCGAAAGUGACGGUACCUGCAGAAGAAGCGCCGGCUAACUACGUGCCAGCAGCCGCGGUAAUACGUAGGGCGCAAGCGUUGUCCGGAAUUAUUGGGCGUAAAGAGCUCGUAGGCGGCUUGUCACGUCGGUUGUGAAAGCCCGGGGCUUAACCCCGGGUCUGCAGUCGAUACGGGCAGGCUAGAGUUCGGUAGGGGAGAUCGGAAUUCCUGGUGUAGCGGUGAAAUGCGCAGAUAUCAGGAGGAACACCGGUGGCGAAGGCGGAUCUCUGGGCCGAUACUGACGCUGAGGAGCGAAAGCGUGGGGAGCGAACAGGAUUAGAUACCCUGGUAGUCCACGCCGU
rnacentral:rRNA from 1 species